ACGCUCGACACCUACGGGAGGGAGCAGUGAGGAAUAUUGGUCAAUGGGCGCUAGCCUGAACCAGCCAAGUAGCGUGAAGGAUGAAGGCUCUAUGGGUCGUAAACUUCUUUUAUAUAAGAAUAAAGUGCAGUAUGUAUACUGUUUUGUAUGUAUUAUAUGAAUAAGGAUCGGCUAACUCCGUGCCAGUAGCCGCGGUAAUCUGAGCGGGCUGGCAAGGC
rnacentral:rRNA from 1 species